rnacentral:rRNA from 1 species
UACGGGGGGGGCAAGCGUUGUUCGGAAUUACUGGGCGUAAAGGGCUCGUAGGUGGCCAACUAAGUCAGACGUGAAAUCCCUCAGCUUAACUGGGGAACUGCGUCUGAUACUGGAUGGCUUGAGUGCAGGAGAGGAAUGCGGAAUUCCAGGUGUAGCGGUGAAAUGCGUAGAUAUCUGGAGGAACACCGGUGGCGAAGGCGGCAUUCUGGACUGCAACUGACACUGAGGAACGAAAGCCAGGGGAGCAAACGGG